ACCUGGUUGAAUCUGGCC
rnacentral:rRNA from 1 species